rnacentral:rRNA from 1 species
UAAGGAAUAUUGGUCAAUGGACGAAAGUCUGAACCAGCCAUGCCGCGUGAAGGAUGAAGGCCCUCUGGGUUGUAAACUUCUUUUAUCUGGGAAGAAAUGCCUGCUUUAUAGCGGGUUUGACGGUACCAGAGGAAUAAGCACCGGCUAACUCCGUGCCAGCAGCCGCGGUAAUACGGAGGGUGCAAGCGUUAUCCGGAUUCACUGGGUUUAAAGGGUGCGUAGGUGGGAAUGUAAGUCAGUGGUGAAAUCUCCGUGCUUAACAUGGAAACUGCCAUUGAUACUAUAUUUCUUGAAUUUUCCGGAGGUAAGCGGAAUAUGUCAUGUAGCGGUGAAAUGCUUAGAUAUGACAUAGAACACCAAUUGCGAAGGCAGCUUACUACAGGGAUAUUGACACUGAGGCACGAAAGCGUGGGGAUCAAACAG